rfam:Alpha proteobacterium AAP38 AAP38_Contigs_35, whole genome shotgun sequence.
UCGUAACGCACUUCUUGGGCGUUUCCUCCCUAAACUCAGGCCGUGGCAAUGCCACGGCCUUUUUUUCUGCCCAGA